GCCUUCGUAGUGUAGUGAUCAACACGCUGGGCGCGUAUUCCAGAGGUCCCUGGUUCGAGUCCAGGCAAAGGCG
rfam:Stegodyphus mimosarum contig126765, whole genome shotgun sequence.